CGCACGGGUGCGUAACGCGUAUCAAACCUGCCUCAUACUCGGGGAUAGCCUUGCUGAAAGUAAGAUUAAUACCCGAUGUUGUUGCUUUCUCGCAUGGGAGAGUAACCAAAGAUUUAUCGGUAUGAGAUGGUGAUGCGUCCGAUUAGGUAGUAGGCGGGGUAACGGCCCACCUAGCCUUCGAUCGGUAGGGGUUCUGAGAGGAAGGUCCCCCACACUGGAACUGAGACACGGUCCAGACUCCUACGGGAGGCAGCAGUGAGGAAUAUUGGUCAAUGGGCGAGAGCCUGAACCAGCCAAGUAGCGUGCAGGCUGACGGCCCUCCGGGUUGUAAACUGCUUUUAGUUGGGAAUAAAAAAAAGGACUUGUCCUUUCUUGUAUGUACCUUCAGAAAAAGGACCGGCUAAUUCCGUGCCAGCAGCCGCGGUAAUACGGAAGGUCCAGGCGNUUAUCCGGAUUUAUUGGGUUUAAAGGGAGCGUAGGCGGAUUGUUAAGUCAGCGGUUAAAGGGUGUGGCUCAACCAUGCAUUGCCGUUGAAACUGGCGAUCUUGAGUGCAGACAGGGAUGCCGGAAUUCGUGGUGUAGCGGUGUAAUGCUUAGAUAUCACGAAGAACUCCGAUCGCGAAGGCAGGUGUCCGGGCUGCAACUGACGCUGAGGCUCGAAAGUGUGGGUAUCAAACAGGAUUAGGUACCCUGGUAGUCCACACAGUAAACGAUGUAUACUCGCGGUUUGCGAUAGAUUGUAAGCCGCCAAGCGAAAGCAUUA
rnacentral:rRNA from 1 species